CCUCGUCGUAGGCUAUCGAUAGUCCUUCCACCCACGAUCUCCACGAUCAAAAAAAUCUGCCAAACCAGCCGAUCGCUCCCACACGUUUUGUUGAAAAGAAAAAAAACACACGUCCCACGCCCCAUAUUCCUCACCCGUUCGCUCCUGAUCCUCUCUCCCGAAAAUAAUUCGCCACCGCCUAUGCUCGCCGCCUUGCCCCCAAGCAUCACCUUGCCGGCCUAGAUCUCGACCCGGCGCCGCUCCCCACCAAGUAGAAGCACCCAGAGGCCAUCCGCCCCGACCGCCAACAUAUGCCACGACCCGACGUCGCCCAAUCGGAGUGCCGUCGCACCAGCUCGCCAUAGCACCAAGCGCAUCCCCUACCGCAGAUUUCGGGGCUAGCCGCCACCCCUGCCAAUCGCGUAUGGGCAGGUGCGGGCUGACGCCCCCCUCCCGGCCUCGACCUUCCCCGUGCCCUUGCUUCCAGUCCCCAAAUCCAGGAGAGACAGCGGGGGCACGGCCCAAGAUCGGCGACAGGGCACGAGCGGACGUUGGAGAGACGAGAUCGACAGGUUACCACCAGAAGCUGCCCACGCCAGGAAGAAACUGCAAGAAGUGCACUUGCUGCUGUUGCGUUGGACUAGCUGGUGUUGCAUUGGAAGGAAGACGAAUGUGAGCAGGAAGAUGAGGUAGACAUUCUACGUGAUGGUAGCGAAUCAGAAGCUCGCUGUACCCGGCAAGAACAGCUUCAACAUCUCACAUCAUCAAGUAGGUGUGACUAUCCUCUGUACAGAACUUGCCAAAAAGUCAUUAUAUGUACUUUUGUCAUAGUGCAAAACUAAAUGACAUGCAAGAACGACUGUUUGUUAGAAUAGUUACUAUUGUACUCCCUCCGUUUCUAAAUAUAAGUCGUUUUAGAGAUUUCGAUAUGGGCUACAUCUCUACUAUUAUAGGGGAAUCGAACGCCGUGAUGGUUCGACCACCUCGUUCGAUCCCCCGCCUCGUACAACAGCCAUCGCUCGAUGUCCCACACGCCCGCACAAUAUCCAGCCCGCAAGCCCACGUACCAUCGAUACUGCCUUCCUCCUGCGCAUAAAAAAGCAACCCACCCCGUGUUGGACGUGGCCCAGAAACCAGCCCACACUUCCUCCCAUCCCCGACCGAACACAGAGAGGAAAAAACUGUCGCUAACACGCACUCACGUCUCCGCCUCCCCCCAACUCCCAACUCCCAACUCGCUCCCGACCCCGACCCCAUCUCUCUCCAGGAAAAGUCGCCGCCAGUGGCGGCUGUGUUCGUCGCCCCGCCACCGAUCCAUCCGCUGCCGCGCGCCUUCUGGAUCAAGGUGAGGGAUGCCUCCCGUCCCGUGCGCCCGCCUUGGAAGAGAGAUGGGGGAGAGAAAGGGAGAGAUAAGAGAGAGGGAGGAGCGGACAGCGGCGGCGCUGGCCUAAUCGCCGACAUAGGAAGAUGAGGUCAUGGUUCCAAAGCGUGGCGGGUUGGCGCUGCUGAUUCAUAGCUGUCGACUUCCUUGUUUGCUUUUGGCUGCGGGCGCAGCACCUUGCCUUCAUGUCACCAAGAAGGUCUGCAGUCCAUCAUCAUCCGACGUAAACUUUAGGGCGGCCACCAGAAAGAUCCUGAUAUGCCGCCAUUAUGCAGGAGCUCUCGGUUAUGGUGAGAUAGAAACUCCAGAAUACGUACACUUAUAGCUAUACUGUGUCUCUUUUUUUCUUCCAGGCUUCAUAUUCAUUGGUUAAUAUGAUUUCUUAGGUUAGGAUAAAUGUUUUUGGAUAAUCCUGGACUGAAAGCUUGUGCAGAAGGAAAAAUCUGCUUCCCAAUCAGGCAGUUCAUCAACAACAAUGCCAAGAUUAAAUUCAAAUUGAAAGAAUUACGGUGGCUGUUAGUUUGCUCGAAGGAACUCUGAAGCAUGUGGUUGAUGUAAAUCUACAUUCUGAGAAAGAAUUUGCAUAUUCAGGAGAAGGACUGCAAACAUAGUGCUUGCUUUGUUAAGAUUUUUAUGUUCUCAAGGAUGUUAAAGGGUCCCUCCUGAGAACCAAGAGGACAAGCUUGAACUCAAGCUGCCUAUUCACACAGAAGUGCUUGAACGCAAGAUGCUCCUCCCGAGUCAUUUGACAGAUAUAGAAAUAAGAUUUUAUGAGAAGUAACCUGAAGGUCAGAUUUGUUUUGUAGUAACUGUACCUCUUCUGUUAUCCUUUUAUUCUUUAUGAUUGGGAGUAGUAUAUGUUGUUUUAGAGGGUCUAUUUUUAGAAAAUAAGAUUCUGUUCUUUUGUUUCA